rnacentral:misc_RNA from 1 species
GUACCCUCAAGCUUUGCUUGGUGUUGGGCGUUUUGUCUUUUUAUUAAGACUCGCCUUAAAGUAAUUGGCAGCCAGUGUUUUGGUAGUAAGCGCAGCACAUUUUGCGUCUUAGUCCCCUAACAGCGGCAUCCAUAAAGCCUCUUUUUCAC